rnacentral:lncRNA from 1 species
UUUUGAAAACGACAUUUGCCGGAAACAUACGAUUCGUAUGACCUUCACCUGCCUGGAGAUGCAUUGAGUUGAUGGAUGGACUAUCAGGAAAUCUGACACUGUGGCAGAAGUCCAGCAAGUUCCUCAGGAGAAAUUUUUGGUCACUCUUCUUUCCUUUGGCUGCAUCGACAGCUAUCCUGUUAGAUUUGUCAAAGACAAGGCGUUUCAAAGCUAAUCAAGCCCUUCUAGCUAAACAAGCAGAGAUCAAAGCUCAAAGCUGAAAAUGAAGUUCUCCAUGCUAAGAGCGAGGUUUGUGCCCUACUACAUGGCAUUGCUGAUACCACCGGCAGCCUACUUUGUUGGCAGUUACUUUCAAGGGCAGCUUGAUGAGACACAGACGCUGUAUCGAAACAAAAGUCGAUUGUUUGGUGGCCGCAAAUUAGCUGAGGGAGAGAAGGCAUGGUGAUGGAUGCAAGACUAAUGAAUGUGUGCGGUGUAGAACGGGGACUUAGACUUUAUCACAUUUUGAAUUGGACUGUAAAUUAUUGAUCCUCUCUGUAAAAUAGAAAUAAAGGAUUUAGUAAUUUA